CAUUUUGCGGGGUCCCAAUGGAUAAGGCGCCUGACUACGGAUCAGGAGAUUGCAGGUUCGAGUCCUGCCAUGAUCG
rnacentral:tRNA from 1 species